GAUGAACGCUGGCGGCGUGCCUAAUACAUGCAAGUCGAGCGAACAGACGAGGCGCUUGCUCGUCAGACGUUAGCGGCGGACGGACAAGUAACACGUGGAUAACCUCCCUAUAAGACUGGGCUAACAUCGGGAAACCAGAGCUAAUACCGGAGAAUAUCUUGAACCGCCUGGUUCAAUAGUGAAAGACGGGUUUGCUGUCACUUAUCGAUGGAUCCGCGCCGCAUUAGCUAGUUGGUAAGGUAACGGCUUACCAAGGCGACGAGGCGUAGCCGACCGGAGAGGGUGAUCGGCCGCCCUGUAGCGAGGCCGCCCGCCCGGCUCCUACGGGAGGCAGCAGUCGGGCAUCUUCCGCAGUGGGCGGAAGCCUGACGGAGCAACGCCGCGUGAGUGAUACGGGGCGUCGGAGCGUGAAGCUCUGUUACUAGGGAGUAACAAAUGUGUAAGUGACUGUGCGCGUCUUGACGGUACCUGAACAGAAAGCCACGGCUAACUACGUG
rnacentral:rRNA from 1 species